UACGAAGGUGGCAAGCGUUGUUCGGAAUUACUGGGCUUAAAGCGCACGUAGGCGGAAUGGAAAGUGUCUUGUGAAAGCCCUCGGCUUAACCGGGGAAUUGCUUGGCAAACUGCCAUUCUUGAGGCAAGUAGGGGUGCAUGGAACUCUUGGUGGAGCGGUGGAAUGCGUAGAUAUCAAGAGGAACGCCAACGGUGAAGACAGUGCACUGGGCUUGUCCUGACGCUGAGGUGCGAAAGCGUGGGGAGCGAACGGGAUUAGAUACCCCUGUA
rnacentral:rRNA from 1 species